CCCUUAGAUGUUCUGGGCUGCACACGUGCUACACUGGCAGGUUCAGCGAGCUUCAUGCCCUGAUCUGAAAGGAAUGGGAAAUCUUUUCAAAACCUGCCGUGCUUGGGAUAGAUGUUUGCAAUUAUUCAUCUUCAACGAGGAUUGCCUUGUAAGCGCACGUCAUCAGCGUGCAUUGAAUACGGCCCUGUAUUCUGUACACACCGCCCGUCGCUCCUACCGAUUGAAGUUUUCGGUGAGUUGACAGGAGGAUUUUUUUGAAACUGGUUCGCCAGUGGAUUUUAGAUCCAAAUGCCAACGAAUCGAUGGCUUUAGAGGAAGGAGAAGUCGUAACA
rnacentral:rRNA from 1 species